AGACAAUCCUCUCAGUUGUUGUAAAGGUAAGCAUGAGCAAAUCACUUUUUAGAGGUAACUUUGCUGGACUUGUGAAGAAUGGUGUGCAAGGUCCAGAGCGACUGCAGGAGAGGGAAGGUGGGAUUCCCACAGAGCAGGAGCACAGAUGAGCCAAGCAAGGCCCUGCUUAGAAGGCAGCAAUCAACAGAGAUGCACAGACCUGUGAGGGUGCCGGGACAGCCAUGCAACAAUGCAGCCCUUUUGCUUCCUAAGCUCACCAGUUCCCUCGCUCCACCUCUGAGAGGUGGUUUGGAGAAACACAGCCCUUCUCAAGAGGUUUGCAAGAUAGGUCCCACCUCCAGCCUUCCCCUGCUGCCAUCUAACAUCCUAAACUCCAGCUCUGAAUGUCUGUCUCCUGCUCUGAAUCUUCAGUGACUUCGAAACUCAAGUCAGGACACCUCUCAGUUUG
rnacentral:lncRNA from 1 species